UGCCAGCCGCCGCGGUAAUACGGAGGGUGCAAGCGUUGUUCGGAAUCACUGGGCGUAAAGCGUGUGUAGGCGGCUUGGUAAGUCGGAUGUGAAAGCCCUGGGCUUAACCCAGGAAUUGCAUUCGAUACUGCUAAGCUUGAGUAUGGGAGAGGGAAGCGGAAUUCCUGGUGUAGCGGUGAAAUGCGUAGAUAUCAGGAGGAACACCCGUGGCGAAAGCGGCUUCCUGGCCCAUAACUGACGCUGAGACACGAAAGCAUGGGGAGCAAACAGGAUUAGAUA
rnacentral:rRNA from 1 species